UACGUAGGGGGCUAGCGUUGUCCGGAAUCAUUGGGCGUAAAGCGCGUGUAGGCGGCCCGGUAAGUCCGCUGUGAAAGUCCAGGGCUCAACCCUGGGAUGCCGGUGGAUACUGUCGGGCUCGAGUCCGGAAGAGGCGAGUGGAAUUCCUGGUGUAGCGGUGGAAUGCGCAGAUAUCAGGAGGAACGCCAAUAGCGAAGGCAGCUCGCUGGGACGUUACUGACACUGAGGCGCGAAAGCGUGGGGAGCGAACAGG
rnacentral:rRNA from 1 species